rnacentral:tRNA from 1 species
GGAGAGGUGCCAGAGUGGCCGAAUGGGCUUGACUCGAAAUCAAGUGAACCCCUUGGGUUCCCAGGGUUCGAAUCCCUGCCUCUCCGCCA